UAGGAACUCACAUUUAGAAAAUAAUUCUAAGGUUGCAGUUACUUGGAUGUUAAUGAAUGAAGCUUUUAACACAAUAAUUGGCACGCACACGGGCAUCAAUCUGGUCGAAAGUGUAGUUUACAGUCGAGGAAAAGCACAUUGAUGAUCAAAAUUAUCCAGGAUUAAUUUUAGCCAAUUUUAUACAUUUAUCCUGGAGAAAGAUGAUGAGAUCAUCGCUGCAGCUUGUGUAAGCUCUAUAUAUUUCAUGAGAGGAGGAUUGCAGAAAUGCCUUUUAUUGCCACAGAAGAGGCAUACAGGGGCCAAGGAAUUUCCUGGGCGUUAAUGACGAUAAUUGAAUCGUUCCUAUGCAAUCUUAAAGUUGCAAACUUGAUCAUUCCAUCUGAUCCAAAGACUGCUGGGAUGUGGAAGCGCAAGUUCAGUUUCAAUGAGAUGAGCGAAGAGUUGAAGAGAGAAAUAUCAUCCUUCAAUAUUUUGAUGUUACCUGAUGCUUUAAGACUGUACUAGAACUACGACAAGCAUAACAGAUGGGUGACAAUAAUAAAGACAAUCAAAAUGGCUUGGAACCACAGACAGAGCAGGGAGAGAGACCCCUUUUUGACUUGAAUAUUGCCCUUCAUGAGGAAGACUAUUAGAAGUACAAGAAUCUUAGUAUCCAUACAAAUGGUGAAUGAUAGGUUUAUACUCUGGCUGACCGGAUUAAAACUACAACAGUCUCUUUCCAAACCCAACAAGGUCAGAAGAGUUGCCAUCCAAAGUAA